rnacentral:misc_RNA from 1 species
UCGCCGAUCUCGUCAAGCGAUCUGAGGCCGAGAAGAAAAAACGGAGCAUCCAGGUUCUUCACAACACCACCAUCUCCUCCCCCCCUCCUCCUGGGGAAACAAAAAACAAAAUUGAGUUUUUUCUUUGCUUAAAAUACGCACUUCGAAAUUUUCUUAGCUGUGACUGCAGUAUACCAAAAGAGGAAAAGAAAAGAAAAUUUUCUUAGCUCAUUUUCUUCCCUUUUUUUUUAAGUGACCAAACAGAAAUACCUUGUCAUCAUUUUGCGUGUACUUUCGCCUAAUAGCCUAACGAAUUUGACAUGAUUAGCUAGAUUACUAGUUGUAGAAAUCAAUUUCAGUAACCUGGAGAGCUAAUGCUUCACAUUUGAUUCCUUAGAUCCGUACCUGCAUACGAGCUCCAUUGUUGUGAAAAUGCACAUAGAAAUUUUCUUUCCAUUUUCUCCCAGUGCGGUCCUCUCACGUUCCUCGAUUUUUUCUGAGAUCAAGACGUGGCUAUAGGGAGGUCCGGAGAAAUUAUUUUUUAAUUUCCUUUCAUUUGUGCGCAAUCAAAGGAAAUAAAUUAUUCAAUGUGCUCUCGUAUUGCUGUAUUAAAAUAGAAGGUAGUUGACUAAUUGUGGCAACCUUGGGCGUUGGGGCCAAGAUAUAAAGAUGAGCUGUUGAGGCUUUAGAUCUUUGAAAUGGAAUACUUUCCACCAAAAAAAAUAAAAAAUUGAAAGCCAUUUUCUAUUCUGAUCCUCAUAUCAUGUGGUGUCUGUCCCACUUGACAUUGCUUUAGUUGCAUUACUUUCCAUUUUAAUGCAUCGAAUAUGCUGGCCCACUAUUUUUUAGUAGGCUUCCUCCUUGUAUUUAUAAUUGUUUAUGGCAGUCAGCAUGUUGAAAUGUUUUAUCAAUUUAUAUUAUAUUAUGUAUCCAGACAUAAAAAUUUCUUUGCGCGUAUGAUGCGAAUAUGCAUUGUUAGAAUUUGGAAAAAAAAAUUUGUUGGUUGUCAACUUUUGUGUUGUGUGGUUGAUAAUAAAUACAUUUUAAAAUUUCUUUUAAUAUGAUGUCGAAAAUAAUUGUUUGUAUCUUUUUGAAUUUUUCUUAUGUGGAAUAUAAUUACCAGUGUGUAGUUAGAUUUAACUUAAGGGUAAAUUACUCUUUUUGUUCAUAUGUCCUCUAGUUUUAAAAAAUCAAUGGUUUAGUUCUUAUAUUUUGACUCUAUCAAAUUGAAGGUCUCCCGUCCAAUUUUUCAUCAAUUGUAUGAGAAAUGAAUAAAAUACCCUUAAAGCUUAAUUACUUUUUCAUCCUUGAAUUAUAUCAAAAUUAACAUAUAUGUCUAUGGUUUAGUUUGUAUUUUGAUUCUGUCAAAUUGAAAAGAAAUACAUUAUUUUCAAAUAUGGGUAGAAGAACUUUUAGUUUGAUGGAGUCAAAAUACAGGGAGUAACCACUGUUUUUUUUGAAAAUCCGAGGUCAUGUUAAUUUUGACAUAAUACAGGGAUGAAAAAAUAAUUUACCAUAAUGAGAAAGCAUAGAGUGCUAAAUGAUUGCUGAAUGAAUAUAUUGAAUAAAAAUAGUGAAAAUGGUGGACAGAGAGUGAGAGAGUAUAUUGCUUGAGAGAGAGAUGCCAUUGCCAAUGAAUCUAUAAUUAGAAAGCCAGUGGCGACAUUGAGAUGGUAACUUAGCUUGAAUAUAAAGGGAUCAACUAAUGAGACACAUGGCAAAAUUGUGGUUAUACAAUUUCGUGUUUUUAUGCCAUGGCAUUGCCAUGUGGAAUUCAAAGUUCAUUUAGUGAAGAGGCAUAUUUAAAUCAGCUUUAGUUAUAAUUUCUUUGUAUUAUUAAAUUCUAUUAUCAAAUUUUAGUUCCAAAUACUAAGUAUGGAUGACAGAGUUAGUAGUCUGAAUUUUUAAAGGAAAAUGUUCUAAUCAGGAGUUAGGUGAAUUUUUUUUUUGAAGUUCAUCUUUUAGUAAGACCCUCUAGAUGGUUACCUUUUCAUGUUAACAGACACAAUCUAAUAGUUAGAUCAACUUACUAGAAAAUUAGGAUACUAUAUGAUUUUCCAUUUUGAAUAUGGUCUUUAGAGGUAAAGGAUUAAUAAACAGACAGCUAGAUACUUGAUAACUUCGUAAACUGUAGACCAUGAUUUUUAGUCAUUUAGUUGUAUUUCAUUAGUUUUUGUAACAAUAUUUAUCUAGUAUGUUCAUGGACAUGAACACAACAUGACGCAAAUAUGAGACACUACUGUUCGUUAAAAACCAAAAUAUAAUAAGUCAUUGAUUUCACUUGUGAAGUUCUCUAGCAUCACAGCAGUGAGUGAAUGUUUUCAUCAUAUCUAACUUUUUUCCUUCUCUACUUUCCCCCUUCUCUCUCUCACUCAACCAGGAAAAGAUUCGAGUUGCUUUGUAUGUCAACAAAGCAGCUCUGCAGUUCAUUGAUGGUAUGAUCCUCAAAUUUGUGUUUCCUAGUAGUUCCCUAAGAUUUUGAUUCUUAUGCUUUCUUUUCUGGCUUGGUUUUGUAUUCUUUAGCUGCUAUAGCAGUUGCUGCAGCCGGUGGUUUGCCAGCUGAACACAAGCU